rnacentral:rRNA from 1 species
UGCCAGCCGCCGCGGUAAUACGAACUGUGCAAACGUUAUUCGGAAUCACUGGGCUUAAAGGGUGGGUAGGCGGGUUGGUAGGUCAGAUGUGAAAGCCCGGGGCUCAACCUCGGAACUGCAUUCGAUACUCCCGUGCUAGAGUAAUGGAGAGGUAAGUGGAAUUCCUGGUGUAGCAGUGAAAUGCGUGGAUAUCAGGAGGAACAUCAAUGGCGAAGGCAACUUACUGGACAUUUACUGACGCUCAGACACGAAGGCUAGGGUAGCGAAAGGGAUUAGAUA